CUUCCGUCUUCCCACCCGCACACGACGAAAAAGGGCAUCCAUCUCACCCCACCACGGCACUGCCCCACCUGCUCCCUCCCCUUCCCUCGUCCGCCGCUGCUCCUCCCCCUACUGUCCAGCACGGGAUCCGGCAAGAGGGCAAGGGGCUACCUUUUUGCCCGGAGAGCUUCCGCGCAGCGGCCCCGCGCGGUCCUCGGCCACCUCCACUUCAACAUCGCAGCCCCACAUGCCCCCGCUCGCCGUGCAGCUCGUACGCCGCUGUAAUCGUGCGCUGCGAGCACCACGCCGCGAGCCCAUCCGUCCACAUAUCCCGGCAACCCAACCGUCGCGCGCCUCCCGGGUAGCAGUCCGUCUUUCCCCCCGGACACUCUCCCUUGCGCGUCCCCUCUUUUCCUACCUCGCCCCCCUCUCUCUCUCCCCCUCUGCGUUGCCCUUGCUGCUAAUUGGACGAUUAAUAAUGCUGUGUUCUCAACAAAGCUACCUGAUCGAUCUUGGUAUGCUUGGAUUGGUUUGUUAACCAAGCACUGGAGUCCUAGCUCCCCAGUCUGCUGGACGGCAUCGCUGAUAAAUUCAGUGUGGUGUGUGUGAUUGAUCAACGGUAAAUUCAGUUAUGUGAUUUUGUAGGAGUUUUGAGUGGAAGAAGCCACCCACGCCAUCCCCUGCUACUAGCCACGCCUUCCCCUGGUUACCGUUGCUUUCUUGCCUAUAUCUUUUCCACUUGGAUGGCCUGAAUAUUAGGGGCUUAAGGAUAUGUCUUAUACCAGACCAGUCUUAGACUCUUAGGAUUCUGUGCUGAUUUCAUGAGUGCAUCAUGAAUUCCUGGUGGUUUUCUUCAGAAUUUUUAGUCGAGUUUACUUUCAUUUGGAAACACUUGAUUUUGAGAUCAAGAGAUGGGCUGCCGGGAAGGAAGACAACAUGAAGCCCCUGUUACCAAGAUUUCAAUAUGUUAAUAUGAUGUUUCCAGUAUUGAUACAUCUUAAUUUGUGUGCUCUUCUUGGCAAACUAAUAUUUUUCUGAGCCCUAAAACAUGUGGCCAAGCCAUGGUUCUUGUUAAACAUAUUAUUUUUUCUCUACAAUGAGCUCGGUGAAUGACUUCAAAAUUAUCAAAGUGUAAGAAAUUUGUGGUUAAAUUUUAACUUAUAUAUGUGGGUCCUA